ACUUUGUGUGUCAAAGUUACCCACACAUCAGCCUAAAUCUGGUUGGCUUUGAGUUGGCAAGAGCUGGAAAAGGACGAAAGGUAAAAAAAAUUACAAGUGAAUUCUGUGAGGGAGCUGAAGGAAAAGGUUGGCAAAAGCAGACUUUACAUUCUACCAAGAGCAGAUGUGUCACAGGAAACCUACUCAACCUCAGCAAUGUCCAGGAGUUUGYUUCCAGAACCCUCAACUGCACCAGAAGUACAGGAUAUCUCUCCAGAGGCUGAGAGCACCAACAGCCAACAUUUAGGGGUAGAACAGGUCAACCAUUUGAAGAACAAUAUAUGCAUUUUAGUUUUAUAUCUUAUUUCUGAUGUUGACUUUAACAAGCUCUGUACUGUAUUCACAAUAGWCACUUCUAGAUUGGCGAUCUCUGUGGUCCCAGCAAGACAAGAGUAUGAUGAACCUUUGUUAGCAGACCAAGAAAAUGAAAGGAGAAGACAGUGUUACAAGGCCUGGGAGGAAAGACGCGUAAAAGCAAUUGAAGUACGCCAGCAACGACUGGCAGAAUAUAAAGAACCGUCAAGUGGACUGCUGUUGAAGUUCAAAUAUCCGAAUGGAUUUAUCAGAAAGAGAACUUUCAAUGUGUCUGACCCAGUUCAGGUCUUGUUUGACUUUGUCGGACAAGAUAAAAUGGYAAGUGAAAUAUUCAGUGUUCAACAAGCAACAUCAUCCACACCAAUUGAGAGUACCUCGUCAGGCUCACUUAUGGUUAACAACAUAACAACAUCUGCCACUCUGUACGUGCUUUGGAUCUCAACUUUAGAUAUUCAGGUAAAGUAAUUAAGUCCAAAUCCCAUACAAUGUCUCAGUAUUUUUUUUUUCCCCAAAAUGUUUCAAAAGGCCACAACUAGACUUUUGACUGGAUCCCAGAAACGAGAGCAUGUAACACCAGUAUCAACUUCUCUGCAUUGACUACCAGUUUGUUAUCAGAUUGAUUUGUUUUUUUAAAACUUUACAUGUCGUAGCCCCAGGUUUUUUUCAAGACCUUCACAACCAUUCCACUUCUAGAACACUUAUGUCAAAUAAUAAAUUACUCUUACAUAUUCCUGGGACCAGACUGAGUGGCGGCGAAUAGGAGCAGUAU